rnacentral:rRNA from 1 species
AUUGAACGCUGGCGGCAGGCCUAACACAUGCAAGUAGAACGAGUUGCGAACGGGUGAGUAACGCGUGGUAACCUGCCUCAUAGCGGGGGAUAACUACUGGAAACGGUAGCUAAUACCGCAUACCAUCAGAUGUGCCCAGAUGGGAUUAGCUAGUUGGUGGGGUAACGGCUCACCAGGGCGGCGAUCCCUAGCUGGACUGAGAGGAUGACCAGCCACACUGGAACUGUGACACGGUCCAGAAUCCUACGGGAGACAGAAGUGGGGAAUAUUGCACAAUGGGCGCAAGCCUGAUGCAGCCAUGCCGCGUGUAUGAAGAAGGCCUUCGGGUUGUAAAGUAGUUUCAGCGGGAAGGCGUUACCCGCAGAAGAAGCACCGGCUAACUCCGUGCCAGCAGCCGCGGUAAUUC